UACAGAGGGUGCUAGCGUUGUUCAGAAUCACUGGUCGUAAUGGGUGCGUAGGCGGGCCUUUAAGUCAGGGGUGAAAUCCUGGAGCUCAACUCCAGAACUGCCUUUGAUACUGAAGAUCUUGAGUUCGGGAGAGGUGAGUGGAACUGCGAGUGUAGAGGUGAAAUUCGUAGAUAUUCGGAAGAACACCAGUGGCGAAGGCGACUCACUGGACACGUAUUGACGCUGAGGGGCGAAAGCGUGGGGAGCAAACAGG
rnacentral:rRNA from 1 species